rnacentral:miRNA from 1 species
AUUUAGCAAGCUGAGUGGGGAGGAGAGAGGGACAGAGAGCCUGCAUGCUUCAAAGGAGCCAACCGGACAGGAGCCGCUUACACUCGUGUAAGCGGCUCCUCUCCUCUCCCGCUUUGCUCCUUUAAAGCAAGCAGGCUCUCUGUCUCUCUCUCCUCCCCACUCAGCGGCUCUUCUC